GACGAACGCUUGCGGCAUGCCUGAGAAAUGCAAGUCGAGCGGGAGUGAGGUUUCGGCCUCACUCUAGCGGCGAACGGUCGAGUAACGCGUAAGCAACCUGCCCGGAAGCGGGGGAUAAGCCGGGGAAACCCGGGGUAAUACCGCAUAGCUUGGGAGGAGGAGUCUCCUUUCAAGAAAGGGGAAAUCCACUUUCGGAGGGGCUUGCGUCCUAUCAGCUAGUUGGUGGGGUAACGGCCUACCAAGGCGACGACGGGUAGCUGGUCUGAGAGGACGGCCA
rnacentral:rRNA from 1 species